AGACGUCUACAUUAGAUACCCCGGUAGUCCCAGCCGUAAACUAUGCGCGUUAGGUGUAUCGGUGACCACGAGUCACCGAGGUGCCGAAGGGAAACCGUGAAACGUGCCGCCUGGGAAGUACGGUCGCAAGGCUGAAACUUAAAGGAAUUGGCGGGGAGCACCACAACGGGUGGAGCCUGCGGUUUGAUUGGACUCAACGCCGGGAAGCUCACCGGAUAAGACAGCGGAAUGAUUGCCGGGCUGAAGACUCUGCAUGACUAGCUG
rnacentral:rRNA from 1 species